rnacentral:rRNA from 1 species
GACGAACACUGGCGGCGUGCCUAAUACAUGCAAGUCGAGCGAGACUCUUCGGAGUCUAGCGGCGGACGGGUGAGUAAUACGUGGGCAACCUGCCUGUAAGACUGGGAUAACACCGGGAAACCGGUGCUAAUACCGGAUAAUCCUUUUCCUCUCAUGAGGAAAAACUGAAGGUCGGUUUCGGCUGACACUUACAGAUGGGCCCGCGGCGCAUUAGCUAGUUGGUGAGGUAACGGCUCACCAAGGCGACGAUGCGUAGCCGACCUGAGAGGGUGAUCGGCCACACUGGGACUGAGACACGGCCCAGACUCCUACGGGAGGCAGCAGUAGGGAAUCUUCCACAAUGGACGAAAGUCUGAUGGAGCAACGCCGCGUGAGCGAUGAAGGCCUUCGGGUCGCAAAGCUCUGUUGUUAGGGAAGAGCAAGUACCGGAGUAACUGCCGGUACCUUGACGGUACCUAACCAGAAAGCCACGGCUAACUACGUGCCAGCCGCCGCAGUAA